rnacentral:rRNA from 1 species
CAAUAGCGUAUAUUAAAGCUGUUGCGGUUAAAAAGCUCGUAGUUGGAUUUCUGUCAAGGACAACUGGUCCGCCCUCCGGGUGAGCACAUAGUUUGGUCUUGGCAUCUUGCUGGAAACUGUUGCUGCGCUUGGUUGUGUGGUGCAGCCUUCAGCACUUUCACUUUGAGGAAAUUGGAGUGUUUCAAGCAGGCACAUGCCUUUGGACACAGUAGCAUGGAAUAAUUAGAUUGGGCUUUUGCUCCAACUUGUUGGUUCCUGGAGCUGAGGUGAGAAUCAAUGGGGAUUGUUGGGGGCAUCCGAAUUUAGCCGUCAGAGGUGAAAUUCUUGGAUCUGCUAAAGACGGACAACUGCGAAAGCGUUUGCCCAGGAUGUUUUCAUUGA